UGCUCCGCUACAGAUCGGGUAGCGACAGCGGACUCAGCAGGAAGACGGUUGUGUUUUCGUUUCUCAGCUGAAUCUUUGCGUAGUUUCAGCAACAAUGUCUUCAGUUCAGCAUCUGAGAGAGUUUAUCAGAGAGCGACUAACUGCUGCUGCUGAAGAAAUCUUCUCAGAGGUUGAGAAAACCAUCGUCCGCUACGAGGAAGACGCCAGACUGCUGGAAAGCUACUGGAGACCCCAGAUAAACACCACCAGAAUCGACCUCCAGAAGCCACAUGUCUCCAUGGAGGAGGAAGCUUCUUCCAUCCAACAGCUCUGCAACCAGAGGAGAAGGUCCAUUCAUGACCAGGAGGAAGCAGAACCUCAGUGGUCUGAAGAGGAACAGAUGGAACCAGAUCCUUCCCUGAUUAAAGAAGAAAAUGUGGAGCCAGAGUCUUCAUGGGUUAAAGAGGAACAAAGGGAUCGGGAACCACUAAUUGAAGACCAAGAGGACCCAGAACUUCCACUGAUUGAGGAACAAAAGGAGGAACCAGAUUAUUUGAGGCUUAAACAUGAACAGCAGGAUCCUGAACAUUUACCAACUAGAAUGUAUCAGGAGGAUGUCUGCAGCAGUCAGGAGGGAGAGCAGCUUGUCCAGAAGCAGUCUGUUGCUCUAAUGGAGACCUUUACCCUUCAGGAACAUGAAGGAGAACCAAGAACUGAGCAGCUUUCCUUUCAUAUCUCUCCUGUAGUUCAGACCAAAGACCAGGAAGGAAGCAGCUCCACUGGGUCAGAGAGUCAGUCUUUCACUGACACUAAGAAAAUGUCUUUAAAAUGUGACGUUUGUGGAAAGUCUUUGAAGUACCAGAGUCAAUUGAAAGAGCAUUACAGAACCCACACAGGGAGAGAGGCCUUUUUUCUGUCAGACAUGUGGAAAAAGUUUCACUCGACUUGCUUCUUUAAAUGUUCACACCAGAACCCACACAGGUGAGAGGCCUUUUACAUGUCAGACAUG